rnacentral:rRNA from 1 species
GAUGAACGCUGGCGGCGUGCCUAAUACAUGCAAGUCGAGCGAACGGACGAGAAGCUUGCUUCUCUGAUGUUAGCGGCGGACGGGUGAGUAGCACGUGGAUAACCUACCUAUAAGACUGGGAUAACUUCGGGAAACCGGAGCUAAUACCGGAUAAUAUUUUGAACCGCAUGGUUCAAAAGUGAAAGACGGUCUUGCUGUCACUUAUAGAUGGAUCCGCGCUGCAUUAGCUAGUUGGUAAGGUAACGGCUUACCAAGGCAACGAUGCAUAGCCGACCUGAGAGGGUGAUCGGCCACACUGGAACUGAGACACGGUCCAGACUCCUACGGGAGGCAGCAGUAGGGAAUCUUACGCAAUGGGCGAAAGCCUGACGGAGCAACGCCGCGUGAGUGAUGAAGGUCUUCGGAUCGUAAAACUCUGUUAUUAGGGAAGAACAUAUGUGUAAGUAACUGUGCACAUCUUGACGGUACCUAAUCAGAAAGCCACGGCUAACUACGUG